rnacentral:lncRNA from 1 species
CUCCGUGCCGGGGUGAAGUCCGCGAGCCCGGGACAGCUGCAGCCAGACCCUCACCCUCUCAGACUGGGACGGCUCUCCCUGCCCGCCUCUGCUCUGCUGUGACUUCGCUGUGCUUCUGCGGGAGAAAACGCUAUAAGUGACUCCAUGUAUAUCUGUAAAAAUAAAUGCCCGCUGCUAUGACUAUUCAGGUGAACAGGUGACAGGCGAUCUUCAGAAAGAAGCGAAGAGUCUGGGGGUCAUCACCAUUCCACAGGCCUAAGCAGUGAAGGCGUGAACUCUGAAGCAGAAGCUGUAGUCUCUGCAAGUUGGUUUUUAAUCUAGGAGGAUGCCACGAGUCACCAGGACACAUUUCAGGUUCAUGGUCCCAUCCAAGGCGUUGCAAACCCGUUCCUAUCAACCAGAUGUGUCUGGGCUGGAGCCUGAGAAUUUGCAU